rnacentral:rRNA from 1 species
GAUGAACGCUGGCGGCGUGCCUAAUACAUGCAAGUCGAGCGAACAGACGAGGAGCUUGCUCCUCUGACGUUAGCGGCGGACGGGUGAGUAACACGUGGAUAACCUACCUAUAAUACUGGUAUAACUUCGGGAAACCGGAGCUAAUACCGUAUAAUAUAUUGAACCGCAUUGGUCAAUAGUGAAAUACGGUGUUGCUGUCACUUAUAGAUGGAUCCGCGCCGCAUUAGCUAGUUGGUAAGGUAACGGCUUACCAAGGCAACGAUGCGUAGCCGACCUGAGAGGGUGAUCGGCCACUCUGGAGCUGAGACACGGUACAGACUCCUACGGGAGGCAGCAGUAGGGAAUCUUGGGAAAUGGGCGAAAGCCUGAAGGAGCAACGCAGCGUGAGUGAUGAAGGUCUGCGGAUCGUAAAACUCUGUUAUUAGGGAAGAACAAAUGUGUAAGUAACGAUGCACGUCUGGACGGUACCUAAACAGAAAACCACGGCUAACUACGU